CAUUCAUUGGUUUUCAAGAAACUAGAUGUUGAAAGGUCGCUCCCUUCAAUCCCAAUUCCACCUUCUCCACCAACUGAGCUCAAAAACAGCCCUCCAAUUUUUU